UGAGUACAAGAUCACCCCUGGCCAGUGCUGUGGGAAGUGUGUCCAAGUAGGCUGCAUUGUCACACUUUUGAACAACUCCACAUACAUGUUAAAGCCCGGCACCACUUGGACACCUCCUUGGAGCCCCUGUCUGAAGUUUGAGUGUGUGAAGAUCGCUAAUCAGUUCAUCACCAUUGAGGCCAAGACCGUCUGUCCUCUUUUCAACUCCAGUGAAUGCGUACCGGGAACAGAGACCAUAGCUCCAGAUGGAUGCUGCCAUGUCUGUAU